rnacentral:rRNA from 1 species
UACGUAGGGGGCAAGCGUUGUCCGGAAUUAUUGGGCGUAAAGAGCUCGUAGGCGGCUCGGUAAGUCGGAUGUGAAACCUCCAGGCUCAACCUGGAGACGCCAUCUGAUACUGCCGUGGCUUGAGUCCGGUAGAGGAGCAGGGAAUUCCUGGUGUAGCGGUGAAAUGCGCAGAUAUCAGGAGGAACACCAGCGGCGAAGGCGCUGCUCUGGGCCGGUACUGACGCUGAGGAGCGAAAGCGUGGGGAGCGAACAGG